rnacentral:rRNA from 1 species
GAUGAACGCUGGCGGCGUGCCUAAUACAUGCAAGUCGAGCGAACAGAUGAGGAGCUUGCUCCUCUGACGUUAGCGGCGGACGGGUGAGUAACACGUGGAUAACCUACCUAUAAGACUGGGAUAACUUCGGGAAACCGGAGCUAAUACCGGAUAAUAUAUUGAACCGCAUGGUUCAAUAGUGAAAGACGGUUUUGCUGUCACUUAUAGAUGGAUCCGCGCCGCAUUAGCUAGUUGGUAAGGUAACGGCUUACCAAGGCAACGAUGCGUAGCCGACCUGAGAGGGGGAUCGGCCACACUGGAACUGAGACACGGUCCAGACUCCUACGGGAGGCAGCAGUAGGGAAUCUGCCGCAAUGGGCGAAAACCUGACGGAGCAACGCCGCGUGAGUGAUGAAGGUCUUCGGAUCGUAAAACUCUGUUAUUAGGGAAGAACAAAUGUGUAAGUAACUAUGCACGUCUUGACGGUACCUAAUCAGAAAGCCACGGCUAACUACGUG